UGGGGAAUCUUGCACAAUGGAGGCAACUCUGAUGCAGCGACGCCGCGUGAGCGAUGAAGCCCUUCGGGGUGUAAAGCUCUUUCGACGGGAACGAUAAUGACGGUACCCGGAGAAGAAGCUGCGGCUAACUACGUGCCAGCAGCCGCGGUAAUACGUAGGCAGCAAGCGUUGUUCGGAAUUACUGGGCGUAAAGAGUGUGUAGGCGGUGCUCUAAGUUCGGUGUGAAAUCUCCUGGCUUAACUGGGAGGGUGCGCCGAAAACUGGAGUGCUCGAGCGCGGGAGAGGAAAGCGGAAUUCCUGGUGUAGCGGUGAAAUGCGUAGAUAUCAGGAGGAACACCUGUGGUGUAGACAGCUUUCUGGACCGUAGCUGACGCUGAGACACGAAAGCGUGGGUAGCAAACAGGAUUAGAUACCCCCGUAGUCC
rnacentral:rRNA from 1 species